GUAAGAGUAAAAUUAAUGUUAUAUAUUAUAUAUUUUCAGAUCUGCCAGUCUUCUAGUUGGCGACUCGCUUGUAGCUAGCUCGCUAAUACACUAUAUAUAGCCGAAAAGUUAAAAAUUUUUGUCCGCUCAAAUUAAUGCUAAAAAUAAAAGUAAGCGAAAGAUCGGCCGAGCAAGAAAAAGCAUCGAGAAGUUCAAGAAGGGCUGUAGCGAAGAUUUACCCGCUGAGGGAUCAUCGCGCUGGAGGAGCGGCACAGGGCCGGCAGUUAUAGAAAAAAAGGCCACAAGCGACCAUUUGCCGGUGUACGCGGAGUUGAGUUGAGGCAGGUCGCGGAUCGCAGGAGCGAGGUCAAGGGUACAAGCGUACAGGCUAGAUCCCUCGAAGCAGCGAGGCGUGGUGCGAGCAACGUUCGGCCAGAAGAAGCAGAGCGAGUUUCAGAAGCGACGCGAAUCUCGCCAUCCGGCUGCCCGUGAGACGGGGCGGAGGAGGGACAUCGAAUCCAAGUUCGGAGCGAGGAGUACAGUGAGCUCGACCGUAGCUGAAGCAGCUAGAGCGUUCGCGACGCUUUAAGGGGCGCUCCGCUGGAGACUAAGGUAGGGUUCGGCCCUAACCUGGCAGGAGCCGCCGUGCAGUAGGCGUCAUCCUGAAGGAGUGAAACCAAGGACGGAGUGCUGGCGGUGCUUUCAAGGAGCACCCCGUCGUUCGAAGGAGUCGCCGUAAAAUAGGCGCUAUCCUAUAGGAGCAGGAGCGAAACCGGAGCGCUCCGUUAUUCGAAGGAGUAGCCGUGGACUAGCCGUCGGUCAUAGGAUAAGAGGCAGGGACAGGGAAAAAUCCUUGAGGGGCAGCAGAAACAACCUUGACACCGCACGUUUAGUAAUUCCAACCACUGUCUUCAGCCACCCAUCCAUACGGUUGAAGCUUAGGUCAGUAAGGUCUGGCUCGAUGAACGUUGAGGGCGGGCCGGUAUUUUAAAAAUGAGCCGAAGUUAGCACAUCUAGGUCCGCAGGAUUUGCUGAAGUCGAAAAAAGGGGGUCUAGAAUUAAUAAUUAAGGCUAAGAGAUUGAGGCUAACAAAGUCCUUAAUUCUACGAAGCCAAGCAUUGCGGGACCAACUGCCCGAUAUAGAUGGUGUUUUGCCGUAUUUACUGCUGUUUCCCACAGACUGCCAAAAUGGUCCGGUGGAAUCCUUUAACUAUAUCGAGCGGAAGUUCAGCCACGACUAUUGGCCAUGUGAGGGCAUCCCCUCUUGGAAGAAUAAUCGGAUGGCGAUCUUCAAAAUCCAGCGCAGAGUUCCGCUGUCGCCCUUCAACACGAAACAAAUCAGCAUCAUCUUAAACAAGAAAGGAAAACUAACUUCGG